GGGGGCGUAAAGGUUUCGACGGGAAUUUUGAAGUCCGAUAAGCGAGCAGAGCCGGUAUAUUCUCUUUAAACUGUGCCAUCGUUUAAAUAUAAACGCUAGAAAAAAUAUUUCUGUAAGAACAAACUUACAGGUAGCAGCCUAAGUCUGCUUCCGUCUGCUGACAGAGUACCGCGACUGUUUGUCAGGCGUCGAUUAGCGGUCAACGUCUUGUCGGAGUGUCCGUUCCGGUGAGAUGUAUUCGGACUACCAGCUUAUUCAGUUUGCUUGUUAACGGUUUUUGCUGGGAAUUUUAAUCAAUAAGAUACGCUCGUAGAAAGUCGUAUGAAUGGGUUUUCGGACAGGAGUUCAAUUCUCCUCGCCUCCACCA
rnacentral:tmRNA from 1 species